UACGGGGGGGGCGAGCGUUGUUCGGAAUUACUGGGCGUAAAGGGCGCGUAGGCGGUCUGCUAAGUUGGAUGUGAAAACUCUGGGCUUAACCCAGAGCCUGCAUUCAAUACUGACAGGCUAGAGUUCUGGAGGGGAUAGCGGAAUUCCUGGUGUAGCGGUGAAAUGCGCAGAUAUCAGGAGGAACACCCGUGGCGAAAGCGGCUCUCUGGGACGGUACUGACGCUGAGACGCGAAAGCGUGGGGAGCAAACAGG
rnacentral:rRNA from 1 species